AGGAUGAACGCUAGCGGCAGGCUUAACACAUGCAAGUCGAGGGGUAACAUGUAGCAAUACGAUGACGACCGGCAAACGGGUGCGGAACACGUACACAAUCUGCCUCUGUCUGGGGCAUAGCCCGGAGAAAUCCGGAUUAACUCCCCAUAACACAUUUGGGUGGCAUCACCUGGAUAUUAAAAAUUUAUUGGACAGAGAUGAGUGUGCGUCCCAUUAGCUAGUUGGUAAGGUAACGGCCUACCAAGGCGACGAUGGGUAGCUGGUGUGAGAGCACGACCAGCCACACGGGCACUGAGACACGGGCCCGACUCCUACGGGAGGCAGCAGUGGGGAAUAUUGGACAAUGGGCGCAAGCCUGAUCCAGCCAUGCCGCGUGGGUGAUGAAGGCCCUAGGGUUGUAAAGCCCGUUUCGGCGGGGAAGAUAAUGACGGUACCGCAGAAGAAGCCCGGCUAACUUCGUGCCAGCAGCCGC
rnacentral:rRNA from 1 species